CCCAGGCAGACAAGAUUCUGCUGAGAUGCCCUAUUGCCACAAAUGAGCUUCCUUUUGUUGUUUGCUCUCUUGUCCUUGACGGCUGCUUCUAUUGUUCAGCUGCCAGAUGUGAUCAUUAUGGAAGGGGCUGCAACCACACUGGCAUGUUCUCAGCUUAAGACCAGCCAUGCAUAUAUGUCCUGGUACAAGCAAGAAAAGAGGAGGGAAGCCCAUUCACAGUUCCAGCUGGUGGUUUUUACAUCUGAAGGUUCUCCAGGAGAAUCUGCCAUUGAGCAACCUUUCAAAAACCGCUUCAAGACCUCAGGGUUGAAGUCAAAUGCCUUGCCUCUAUCUCUGGAGAAUGCCCAGCUGGAAGACACAGGCACCUACUACUGUGCUUCACAAGAGCACACAGCCGAGCAAAUGCUGAGGAAGCCAAGCCAAAACCUCUUCACAGGAAACUCCCCUGUGGCAGAUCCUUCCCAAUAA